UACGGAGGGGCUAGCGUUGUCCGAAGUUACUGGGCGUAAAGCGCGCGUAGGCGGGUUGGUAAGUCCGCUGUGAAAGCCCGGAGCUCAACUCCGGAGGGUCGGUGGAUACUGCCAGUCUUGAAGGUGCUAGGGGGAGAUGGAAUUACCGGUGUAGCGGUGAAAUGCGUAGAUAUCAGGAGGAACACCUGUGGUGUAGACGGCUCUCUGGACCGUAACUGACGCUGAGACACGAAAGCGUGGGUAGCAAACAGG
rnacentral:rRNA from 1 species